UCAGCCAAAGGUUUCUCAAACGUUGGUCUCCAGCUGUUGUUGGACUACAACUCCCAUCAUCCCUAGCUAGCAGGACCAGUUUUGUUCUACUUGGUUUCUUCACAUAUACAAGCACAAGUUGCAUAUUGAGGGAGAGGCAAAACACUUCCACUGGGUAGCAGAUCUCCUGCCUCAGACUGGCUCUUCGUAGAGAGGCACUUGGCCCCCUAAGCUGCUCUCAGCCCUUGACUCCAAGCUCGCUUUUACUUCUGCCUCAAAUUGCUGCUUCUGUUUUUAUUAUUCUACUUAAAAUCUAAUUGUACAUUCAUAUAUACCUCUCUGUAAACUUGUACAGACAUGUACAUUCAUGUAAAAAGUAAGCUAGCAGGCUAAUAAAAGGGGAAAAGAGGGGAGAGAGUGAAUUUGUAAUGAAGAGGAGGAAGUUUAUGUUUGAAUAUUACACUGGUAAUAGCUGUUGCAAGACAUGGUAAAUGAAAGCCACCUUUUGAUGAACCUGUUUAUGUGGUGUUUAUAGUCUGUCUCCCAUAGUAAUGUUAGAUAAAAUUGUGAUGUUUCAUCAAGCUGCUCUUUCCAGGCUUCACACUUCCCCAAAUUAGUGCCCUCCUGUUGUUGCUGGACUACAGCUCCUGACCUCUGGCCAUGCUGGCAGGGGCUGAUGGGAGUUGGAAUCACCCAGUUGGAGAACGCUGCUGCGCACCCACAGAUAGCUUACAUCAACUCCUCUUCCAUUAGCUUGGGGUAGGGAAUUUGGAGAUUGAAGAGAAGGUUCCAAGUUCUGGUGAGUUUCCCAUUCUGGAGAAAUUCUGUAUACCAAGAAACUAUCUCCUUAGCAAAGUUUACUUUAAGGAACAUCCACUAACUAUCACACCCUCCACACUUAACCCAGGCUGCUAAGAAAUCUUAAUGUUGCUUUUUUGAAAAAGCUGAAGCUGUGGUCAGUUCUUUCCUUAAAACAACUUGUUGUGAAAGACUCGACCUCAUCUUUAUCACAUGCUUCUGAAAACAUGGAGAUACAGUGGCGGAGCUUCAUGCUUCGGCACUUGGGGGGGGGCAGAGAGCAGGAGGGGCGGGGCACGGUGCCCGCAGGGGAGUGGGGCGCGUCCUGGGGCGGAGCGUGCCGCCUUUGGGGGCAUGCUGCCCAGUGUGUGUGUGUGUGGGGCAGCUGCAAUGGCACCCUGCCGGAAUCGCGCUGCCGGGGGCGGUGCGCUCCCCGCGCACUCCUCUUCCUCCGCCAGUGUAGAGAUACAGUGCUGAGAUAGGGAAGGUUUGCCUGCUGAAUAUGUGCCGUGCAGGUAUUUUAAGUUGCAAAACUUGCAUUACUGAAAAGGUAGCCCCCCUGCCUGUUUUAUUUGUUGCACUGUACCUGGAGUGGUCAGGUUCUGUUUACAUUAGUUGCCCUCUCUGUCUUUUUGUUGAGCGCAUGUUCAUCCUGACGUUUGUGGUGUAGUGGUUAUAGUGUUGGAUUAGGACCUUGGAGACCAGAGUUCAUAAUGAAGCUCAUUGGGUGACCUUGAGCCAGUCACUGCCUCUUAGCCAGGCCUACCUCACAGGGUUGUUGUGAGGAUAAAAUGGGUGGCGGGACGGACCGACCAUAUUUGCUACAUUGAGCUCCUGGAGUAAAGGUGGGAGCUAAAUAAAACAAAUGAAUGAAUGUAGAUGCUCCCUUCCUCUCCAAUAUCAUACCUGACUAGUUGCUUGGAUAAUAGAUAUUUCCACUGCAGCUCCUUCCUGACCUUGCCACUAGUUUAAAACCCUGCUUAGAACUAGUUUUCUUUAGCACACGUAUAUCCUUCAGCAAGUGCAAUGUAAUCUACUGAAUAUGUAGCAUUCGUGUGGAUCCAUAAUUCAUAUUUGUUCUCAGAGUCAGUGGAUUCCUCUGGUGUAACCUGAUUUCCUAGUAUUUGUUUGUUUAAUAAACAGCAGAAUAAACAAGUUGGUGGGGAGCAGCAGUUGUUAGGGUUUGUUGUCUUCUUUGAGGGUUAGAUAAUAAGCACACGGAGUGAAGGCUGUCAUUUUUCCCUCUUGUUGCCAAAUAAUGGACUGCACUAAUGCAUUCACAGUCUGAGGAUCUCCAAGCAGUGUUUAAAAACACUUUAAGUUGUUAUUCAAAGAGGGACAAUAGCAUCCUAUAAACUGAUGAGGAAGCACGAUUCACAUCAUGGGCCUCCUGAGGCUUUUUUGUGCUGCGUGAGUGUUCAUUGCCUCCCUGGGCUCUUUCAGGAUGAAGGGUGGGAUAUACGGUAAAUGGAAUGAAUGAAUGAAUGAAUGAAUGAUGCAAUAUAUUUCUCUUCUCAUGCACCCCCUGGCUUAUACCUUUUCUGUGGUUUGCCAUGUGUUCAUUGUCUACUUUGGAACCAUUUUGAAAAAAAUUAGGGGUGGCUCCCUGACAUAAUCCCAGCCAAUCAGGGUUCAGAUUAGGCAGUGAAAUUCAGUCACAUUGGCUGCAUUACAUUUUAUUUACUUAUAUUUUUAUUAUUUUUUAUAUAUUUAUAACCUGCCUUUUUACCUGAUGGGACUCAAGGCAGCUUACAAAUGUAAAAAGAGUAACUAAAAAAGUAGAAAAUAAUAAUAAUUAAAAAGCAAUUAAACAUUAAUAGAAUUAAAGCUAUAUGCAUAUAACAAAUGUGUUUAAAACAUUCCAAUAAUUACAAUAAAAACAGCACCACUUUAUUGGUUAUGAGACAAAGCUGGAUCCAGGGUAAAGACAGAAUUGGCUGCACACUAUUGUAAGGAAGCUGUCAAGAUUUGGUUGCAUUGUGGUGUCAGAGAACCAAAUUGGUGUGCGAGCGAUCCUUACCCUAAUUUGAAUGGAUAGACCUUUUUGCCCAUCUGUGAACAGUUUCUUAAAUGGAGGGUGAAUUUUUUUGGGUGUGAUUUUUGAACAACUGUACAUAAUUCUGGAAACUUUGACAUUUGGCAUCCAGGGAUUUCAUAUGGAAGUCAUAACUGAGCAAUGCGAAUUGCAGAGGCGGUACUCUUUGUCACUGUGAAUUGUGCCGCUUCCUUUCUCAUAAGUAAAAGGUAGAAACCAAAAUGCUACUAAGAUGUCCAGUGCUGUGCUUCAAAGUACAGUGGUAGCCGUAGCUCUUUUCUCCAAUCCACUUACUAUAAUCAAGUUAGUAGGGCUGCUAACAGACCUCCUCUUUGGCCUUCAGCAUCACCCAAUUCUGCAGUGAUUGGCAGGCAGAAAGCUGUGGUUAAGAAUACAUCUUUCCACAAUAGUUAUUUGAUGCCUGUUUUCAACUUUUUACAUAGGAUUUUUACUGUCUGGUUUUAUGUAAACCACUUUUUCUUUGAAAUUGUAUUAUAGUAAUAUUUUAACAAAGAAUAACAGUGCUGAAGCACUGUUGCAUGUGUUGGGUCAAACAUUGGCAACGCUACUAGGCAAGAAAUUGCAGCAAGCUAGGCAGACUGAUCUUGGGCCCAGGGGUGGGGGUGGGAGAAGAGGAAACAAAUGUCACCCUUCCUUAUCCACUUACACUUCACAUUUAGGGCUUGCUAGGUUCUGAGAUGCAGUCUGUGCUUUAGAGGCGCAUCCAGAGUAUACAUCACUGCAGCGGCUAUUUCUUUGUAUAAAAGAAAUGCAUACAAAAGCCUUUGAAGCAAUAACAACAGUGAACUGGAAUGCACUCACACAGAAAGUGUUCCAUUACAGUAAAUUCUGUGUGUGUGUGUGUGUGUGUGUGUGUGUGUGUGUGUGUGUGUGUUGUGUGUGUUAUAAGAGAUUCUGGGUCAGGGUAAAGAGUAACAGAGCAUGCUGCACAUUUGCAGAAGCAGCUAUUACCACUUUGUGACAGGUGGAAUUGAUUUUGCAGUUAGGUAAGAAUGAUUCCAGUGUGGCUUUAUUGAGCUCAUUGGCACCUGUUACUAGCAAUGUUAAAAAGGUUAAAUGCUUUGCUUGUUAAAGCCGGACAUGGCCAACAAAUGGGAGUAGGCUAGAAGAACAAAAGGAACUGUCUGUAAUAAUCUUUCUGGAAUGAGUCGCAGGAGCAGAGGACCUGGCUGAUGUAUUAGAGAUGUUUGGUGAUGCUGUCUCGGUUCAGGGGCUGGACUGUGUGACCCCUGACACCUAGCCAACUAUGUUCAGUUAUGUUCUGUCGCUUGGCAUUUUCAGCGCAGUUCCAGUUAAAUAUUGGCUGUCAAAUAGUGUACUGUGGUAUUCACAGACGUUAAUUCCCAUAGUGGGUUAGUGCUGCUGCCCUGCAACCUGGACACUGGAAUGCGCACUUUGAAAUACCCUGAUACACUCAGACCAGAUAGUCAGGAGUCACCUUGUCUGUUUCCUGUCCUAUCCCUUGUCUGCUGUGGUGCAUUGUGCAGCGACUGAAGGAGGAUAAUAGAUGACAGGACUGUGGGCGGAAUGAGCUUUUCAUACCUUGUUUUUAACAUAGCACCAAAUUAAAUUGAAAUGCAUUUGACGUCUCUCUGCGUUGCAAACUGGAAAGGGCUACCUUGGAUUCUACCCAGCAUGCACUGCUCCUUUUUCACGUUUACCUUUUUCUGGGUGACGCUGCAUUAGAAAAAUCUCUCUAGAUUUGGCUAUACUUUUUUCUGAUUAUUGCUCUGUGGUGCUAUGUACAAUAAGAGACAGCAAAAUUGGAAGGGUUAUUGAUAAGCAUUCCAGCUUUGCUGUUCUGUGAUCUGCACGUAUGUGGCCAUUCCAAUCCUCCUAGUCCUUAAGGUUAAAAAUCAGAGUGACACCUGCAUUUCCCAUAUGAGAGUGACGACCAGAACCAUUGGCAACUUCACAUAUCUUUGGCUACCUCGGGCCCACUCUUCCAAGCUGAACAAAAGCCACCAAUACCAGCACUUUCCUAACACUUGUUUCUAGCAAUUGAACAUUUUAUGGAUGCCUUCAGUCUGAAGAUCAAUUGCCUUUGCACACAGCUUUGACAGACUCACAUUGCAACCUUGCCAAAGGUAAGGGGGUCUAUGUCUGCACCUGUCUGGGAGGUUACUGUGAAUCCUAUGUACGUUUUUGAGUUCAUGCGGAGUGGGAAAGGGAAAAGUCAGUAUAACAGAAGCCUGACAGCGGGAUAAUGUGCACAACGUCCCUCCCAAAAAUGGUUGAUGUGGCUUGCCAUGUGUAUCUUUGUGAACCAGAAACAAGUGGUCAACUUCUGUAGCUACUGCUGGCCACAGGCCUCAAGCUCACAGCUAUUGAAACCGGGAGUGUGUGAGCUCUCAAGUCCCUUCUCUCUGUGCUGUACCAUUUCCCAGAUCCAAGGGACUAUAAAAGUCUUGCCAAGUCUUCGGUUUUCAAUGGCUCCAUGUAACUCUGAUUCCCUGAAUCUGUCUUAGCAUUGAAGUCACUCACCACAGUGACGUCUCCCAUUCACUGCUUUACAAGCACUCGCCACAAAACUCUUCACUGUUCUGUGACCUUUUGAUAGUUCCGUCUUUGCUUUGAGGUGGACAGCUAAUCACUGUAGCCGUCAGUACACAUGAUGUGUCCAGGAGGUCUAAAAUGCUAUGUCCUACCUCUCUGCUACCACAGGUAUGCAACCAGACUAUUUUAUUUUAUUUUAUUUAUUUCUGUCCCACCCUUCCUCCCAAAGGAACUUGGGAUGCCAAGCAACAAACCAGCAAAAACUAAAUUU